GGCGAACCGGGGGAACUGAAACAUCUAAGUACCCCGAGGAAAAGAAAUCAACCGAGAUUCCGAAAGUAGCGGCGAGCGAAAUUGGACUAGCCCUUAAGCUUUACACGCGUUAGACGAACGGUCUGGAAAGUCCGACGAUACAGGGUGAUAGUCCCGUAGUUGACGACGUGUGUUCAGUGAAAUCGAGUAGGGCGGGACACGUGAUAUCCUGUCUGAAUAUGGGGGG
rnacentral:rRNA from 1 species